rnacentral:rRNA from 2 species
UCUGGUGACAAUGGCAAGGAGGUCACACCUGUUCCCAUGCCGAACACAGAAGUUAAGCUCCUUAGCGCCGAUGGUAGUCGGACUGAC